rnacentral:tRNA from 1 species
GGCCCUCGUAGUCAGGUUGCAAACCUGUAUAUGGCACUUCGCCCGGGGCUU